rnacentral:sRNA from 1 species
GAGGAGAGGGUGAUGUCACCUGCGAGUUAGUAACCUACGAGCGGCUGUGAAGGAAACUGUUUAACCGGAUCCCAUUGUACCCAGAGUGCAGAGCCGCCUUUCCAGCAUGCAGGGGCUGCUCAGAGUUUAGUCACAUCAAGAAAUAGAACAGAAUUCAGCCAUGGCCCCAAGAAAGAGAGGUGGACGAGGUAUUUCAUUCAUCUUUUGCUGUUUCCGAAAUAAUGAUCACCCAGAAAUCACGUAUCGGCUGCGAAACGAUAGCAACUUUGCGCUUCAGACCAUGGAACCAGCAUUGCCCAUGCCCCCUGUGGAGGAGCUGGAUGUCAUGUUCAGUGAACUGGUGGUGAGUCCCAGUUUUCUAUCCUGGCAUUGGUGGGGAGCCAGAGAAGGAGAAGAGGAGAGGAUGUGAAUGAGUUGGUUUGGUUUGACAUGGACUUUUCCUUUUCAGUGAAAUGGCCCCCAUUCACCUUUAUGUCUGCACCCUCACUGUCAGCACUAAACCUGUGGAGAAGGAAGAGUUAGAAGAGGGUAGUAUUACUACAUCCAAGUGCUUUGCUUGUGCUUUAAGUGGGUGGAGGGAUUUCGACCUUCAGUUCUUCAAAUAUGUGGCAGUACUGCAUCUUAAGUUGCCCUUCCUAAUUUGUCUCCAUCCCAAUCCUUAGUCUAUACAUUAUGCUAAAUAAUUCCUUCAUUUACUUCACACCUAUUGGGAUUCCCUAAUGCUCCCCUACCCCCACACCGAAUGUACAGUAUUAAUGUAUUUUUAAAAAAUUAGUCAUACUUCCCAUCCUGUCAUUGAUCCUUUGGUGAAAGACAUUAUUACUUCAGUACAGCAUCAUUAUUUAGCCUAAUGAUAGGAUUAGAAUAAUAACUGCUGUGGGAAUCUUUUUAUAGGUACUAUCAUAUUUUAGAAUCAAAUAUACUGAAAUGAAGGAUGCAUCUAGUGCAGGACCCAUUCAUCAAGAGAUGUAAGUACAUUCUUCAGCUUAGCUUUUCAAGCAUCAAGUAGUGUUUCUAUUCUGUAUUUCAGAAGAUAUUAUGGCAUAGUUUAAAGGGGUGCUAGCAUAGGAAUUAGGAAGACUUUUUUUCAAAUCACUGCUUUGAUUUUAUCUUCAUAAUUGUAAAAAAUCAUGUUAUUUUUCUGUUCCUGUUUUCUGAAGGAAAAAAACAUCUUCUUCUAGGUUUGAUAUAAUGUUUCAGUGAGAACAGUACACAGUGGGAGUGGCCCAGUGCCUGGCCUUUAAACAUGCUUAAUAAAUGUUACAUGAAUACUGUAUCCUGCUUUGAUCACCACUGGCAUUUUGUAAUGGAAUUAGUUCUUCUUUUUUUUUUUCUUCAACUUUUAUUUUAAGUUCUGGGGUACAUAUGCAGGAUGUGCAGGUUUGUUACAUAAGUGAACAUGUGCCAUGGUGGUUUGCUGCACAGGUCAUCCAUCCCAUCACCUAGGUAUUAAGCCCGGCAUCCAUUCGCUGUUCUUCCUGAUACUCUCCCCACUCCACCAUCCCCCUGCCUCCUGCCACAUGCCCCAGUGUGUGUUGUUUCCCCCCAUGUGUCCAUGUGUUCUCAUCAUUCAGCUCCCACUUAUUAGUGAGAACACCUGGUGUUUGGUUUUCUGUUCGUGCAUUAGUUUGCUGAGGAUAACAGCUUCCAGCUCCAUCCGUGUUCCUGUAAAGGACAUGAUCUCAUUUGUAAUGGAGUUAGUUCUAAACGGACCAUUUAUAUUGUUCAACAGACACUAGAGAAUACUAUUCAUUUUGCAUGAUUCUUUGGUCAAGGACAUACUGUAGGCUGCGUUAGUGUUCUCCUUGGUUAAUAUCUGAACUGACCAUGUCACUCCAACUCUUAUAGCCCAGAAAUCAUUUAUAAAGCAGAAAGAUAAGCCAAUAUGAGAGAGGUUAUGAAGCUGAUGUUUGAUUUCUGGUCUCCUGCGUGGAGCGAUGGGCCUAUUGCCAACCAGAGUUGGUCGGGAAAAAGGAAAGAUGACUCCUACCAGUGUACUUACGCUUUAUGAUCUUGAAUAUUUUCAAUGUUUAAGGAAUCUCUUCCUUCUUUGAUCUCCACUGCAUGAAGAACUCUGUUGCAGGUGUUAACAAGGAAGUUUGAAAUAGAAAGCCAGAACCUGCCCCCCAAAGAUCUGACAGUAGUAGGAGAUCCAUUAUGAAGAAGGUAUAAUGGCAACAAAAGAAUAAUCACAAAUUACCUGUGUGUGUAAUAUGUGUUGUGUGGUAUGGGUCAAGGAGAUGAGGAAGGUGGUUAGGGAAGACUUUAUGGAGGAAGUGAGCUGUCAACAGGAAUUGAAGGUGAGAAGAAAAGUUGGGGGGAAUCCAUGUUAAUGACUGUCUCAGUCAUCUUAAACUAGGUUGUGCUGUGAUAGCAAAACCCCAGUGGUUGCAACAGCAGAGGCUUAUUGCUUGCUGUGCUGUGUGUCCACUGUGGGUCUGCUAUAGUUCUGCUCCUUCCUGUCUUCUGUCCUAUACCCAGGAAGGGUGGAGGAGGAAAGGCAAACCUGGCAAACCAUUCAUAGGCUCUAAGCUUAUGCUUGGAAAUAACAGGUGUCACUUGUGCCCACAUUUCAUUGGCCAGUGCAGAUCACAUGGCCACACCUGAGUUUGCAUAUAAGGAGGCAUCAUUCUUCUGUAGAGACUGGUACCACAAGUCAUGUGGCCAAGGCUGAGGUCAUGGGGCAGGCAGAUGACACAUAGUCCUCUUCUAGGGAGGGGCAGUGAAUCAUCUACCAAGACAGCAAUCAAGAAGGGCAAUAAUGAUGCAUUGACAGGCAGGGUUUCCCACUUAAAAUGUUUUAAAACUGAAAGUCUCUUGUUCAAGUUGGUGUUUGGAUU